rnacentral:tRNA from 1 species
AGUUUUGUAGUUUAUAAAAAAUAUUGAGUUGCAGCCUCGAUGAAAGACUUUGUCUCUAAACAU